UACGUAGGGGGCAAGCGUUGUCCGGAAUCAUUGGGCGUAAAGAGCGUGUAGGCGGUCCGGUCAGUCGGUUGUGAAAGUCAAGGGCUCAACCCUUGAAUGCCGGCCGAUACUGCCGGGCUAGAGUUCGGGAGAGGCGAGUGGAAUUCCUGGUGUAGCGGUGGAAUGCGCAGAUAUCAGGAGGAACACCUAAGGCGAAGGCAGCUCGCUGGAACGUUACUGACGCUGAGGCGCGAAAGCGUGGGGAGCGAACAGG
rnacentral:rRNA from 1 species